rnacentral:tRNA from 1 species
GGGCUCAUAGCUCAGCUGGUUAGAGCGUUUCCUUGACAUGGAAAAGGUCAGGGGUUCGAAUCCUCUUGGGCCCA